CCUUGAUCUUUUUUUUGUGCAUGAAAUAAAAUAUUUACAAUACUUUUUCUCUGCAUCACACAAUUACUGGACAAUAAUGAUGUGGAUUAUUAUUUUUUUUUUUCAUUUUUGGGGUGUUUUAGGGGUGUUUUAUGUGCGGUGGUGGGUGAAGACAGCCAAAAAACAGUGAAAUCACAGCACGCACAAAGUCUACCAGAAACUAGUCUAUGUAGUGCCCGGGUUUAAUGCAUAGAAUGUUUGCUCUGCAAACAAGAAUCUAAAAUCAAGUACAAAAUUACUAGAUCUUCAUCUCCCAUUGCCCACACUUAAUAUUUCAUUUUUGUCCUUAGGGCGAAGGUUUGGAGCAUUUUUUAAAUACUAUACAAAAUAUUGUUUAAAUAAUUACUACCCAUUUGGACAUUGAUAUAAAGGCAGACUCUUGUCUCAUAGAGUACUUAAUUUAUAUAGUUGCAGAAAUUACUGAUUUUUCAAAUAAAUGCAAUUGCCAUAGUGCACAUCUUUAAAUAAUAAAGUACUUCUCAUAUCGCUUACAAUAAAUUGAAAUGCUUCAAGCAUGCAGGCCCUGGGUGACAAAAACUUUUCUUAUUUAUAAAUAGAACAAAUAUCGUCACUAUUCAGAAUAAAAUCAUUCUCCACCAUUCUAUACAGAGGUAUAGUGGGGGACACAUGGAGGGUAAACUAAGUUUUUGGACUGCAAAUAAUUAUUUGUCUUAAUGGGGGAUUUUGCGUAUAAAGAGGUGAUUGGAGAAGUUUUGUUUAGUGCUUUUAAUAAGAAACAACAAAAAAUUACCCUUAAUUAUUUAGAGUCUGAUAUCACGCCUUAUAUCUUGUGAUAGCUGGAAUAUUGCCCUCAAAUUGUAUAUAUAGACCUCACAGAGACCAGCAACAUAGAACAGAAAAAAAGGACAGCUCAGGACAGGAAAAAUCAUCAAUAUUUUACCCCCUUCAGUAUCAAUGUGAUGUGUGCAAGUCAUUCAAUACCGGGACAUUAUAUUAUAUUCCACCUGUACCUAUUGACAGAUGGACUUCCAAAAACAUGUCUUCAAUUCCCAGUUAGUCAUUAAACUCCUAUUUUUUUCUCUCUAUAUUUUUUUAAUUUAAUUUACUUUGUAGUCAGCCAUUUCAAUGUUGUCCAU